AAAGGCCGUUUUUCUUGUAGUGGUCGCCUCAAAAUUCCUCAAGUUUUAGCCCCCCAUACCGUAAUGCUUAUAUAAAUGGAUAGAUAUCCUUGAGAUCUAUCUAUUUCUACCAGUUUCAUCACCAAAAAACCUCACCACCGCCAACCUCCACACCUACUACUGCGACCAGCCCACUUCCACUACCUCACCACUGCCGAUCCUCCGUUCUAGCAUGAACAUAACCUCGUAGUCUCUCUUUCUCUUUGACACAAAUUUGGACUCAACUCUGGUUCGCUGCAGUUUGUGUUUUUCGGCAUUUGUCGUCGAGAAAAAUGAGGCGUGGAGGUCGAUUCACCAUCUAUUUGUGUCGUACAACUAGCUAAAAGCUUGAGCGCUUAGGUAAAACCCUAAUCUUUUCCUUUGUGUUUUUGAUUUACUAUUUCAAUGCUAUUUGAUUAUAGUUCUCUUUUUAAUUUAAAUUAGGUUAGUGGUUGUCUUAGUUAAACGCUUGAUGUAGUUUCUGUUUCGAUUAGCAAUUAGGAUUAGGUUUUAAUUGUGUUAUAUGUUUAUGCUUUUUCCUAAUUAUGUAAUUCGUGCUUCUGAUUUAAUUAAAUUAGAAUAGUUGUUCUAGUUUAGUUUCUACAAACACUGACUCGUAUCGAUUCGCAUUGUCUAAAGUUUUAGUUUAUAUCGACUAAUUGUUGGUUGUUUGGUUUUGAAUAUCUAUUUGGUUAAGUUACUAUGAGUUUAGUAAGUUUGAUGUUCUGAUCAGUGUAUAACCAAGCCCUCGUUAGGUUGUAACCAUUGUGGUAAUUGAGUUUAUGUCUUCAAAUGGGUCGUUUGGUUUUAAAUUGCUUUUGGAAUUGUGCUGGAAGUGUUGUUAAUCCAGUUACUACUUAGCAAAUGAUGUUUGUCUGUUUGGUUGAUAACUUGAGUCAAGUUUCAUGGUUUCUUGUGUUUUGGUUAAAAAACAUAGGGUGGUACUAUUAUUUGGUUGAAAGUUGAAGCUUAGGUAAUUUGAUCGUGAUUUAGGGUACAAGUAGCCUACUUUUAACUAGUAGGGUGGCUGAAAUAACUCCAUGCUUUUGCCACAGCAAGUUGCAAGCUGUCCUUUCACCCUUUGGACAGCCCUUGGGCAGUGUUUUGGCAAACUUACACACAUCUUUGGUAAUCAAAAUCUGUCGAAAAAGUGACUUUCUUUGCCUACUUAAAGGGCUGUUGUUUCCUCACUUCACACACACUCUAACAAACUUACACACAUCUUUAGAGCUGCUUGAACACACAAAAAUUUGAGAGAAAAAUCAGCAACUGACAUAGAGAAAGUAAGCUGAAAUUGUAAGCUUUGUGAGUGGUUCUUAGAGUGAAAACUCUUUCAGAAAGAUAAGCCUUUUAGAGUUGGUUCUGGGCUUCUAUUCUAAGAUUUUUGGACCGUUAAACGUGAAUCUGCUGCUUGUUUUCUGCUAUUUUUGCUGUUGUUUUCUACUGCUUCUGUUGCUGAGCUCUUAUUCUUCAUUGUUGUGUUUAUUUUCUGCGAACCAGGUAACCUUUAAACUCUGUAAUGCAGAUUUUUAAUAGCAAUUGAUGAGGAUUUGAGCAUGUUUAGAUUACUUGAAGCAUCUUUAGCGAAAUUUGCUAUAUGGAUAAAUGUUGAGGUUUCAGUCUUGAUAUCAAGCUUUGGAUCAUAAUGUUAAAUCCAGGAUUUUUUAUUUAUUUAUUUAUGGCCUUGUCGUAUUUAUCUGUUAGCCUUUAAGUAGUAUUUUAUGAGAAUCUUGGUCAUGUUGUAGAAAAGAAAAAUUGUUAAAGACUUGAUGAAGAUUUUGAAAGUAGGCAGAAUGUAUUAGUUUUGUAAAAAACAAAGAGCUAUGUUUGGUAUAGGAUCUUUACCAUUCUCUUUAUUAGAAGUCCUACUGAAAGUACUAAUAUUAUCAAAAGAUCACUCGAUGAUCCAUUUUAUUACUCUAUUAUAGCAAUAAUAAUGUUACUUUAAAA
rnacentral:lncRNA from 1 species